AGUGAACGCUGGCGGUAGGCCUAACACAUGCAAGUCGAACGGCAGCACAGGAGAGCUUGCUCUCUGGGUGGCGAGUGGCGGACGGGUGAGGAAUACAUCGGAAUCUACUCUGUCGUGGGGGAUAACGUAGGGAAACUUACGCUAAUACCGCAUACGGCCUACGGGUGAAAGCAGGGGAUCUUCGGACCUUGCGCUAUUGAACGAGCCCAGGUCGGAUUAGCUAGUUGGCGGGGUAAAGGCCCACCAAGGCGACGAUCCGUAGCUGGUCUGAGAGGAUGAUCAGCCACACUGGAACUGGGACACGGUCCAGACUCCUACGGGAGGCAGCAGUGGGGAAUAUUGGACAAUGGGCGCAAGCCUGAUCCAGCCAUACCGCGUGGGUGAAGAAGGCCUUCGGGUUGUAAAGCCCUUUUGUUGGGAAAGAAAUCCAGCUGGCUAAUACCCGGUUGGGAUGACGGUACCCAAAGAAUAAGCACCGGCUAACUUCGUGCCAGCAGCCGCCGUAA
rnacentral:rRNA from 1 species